AGCUCCUUUAAAUGUAGUCCCGUGAGGCUAAGAAGGAAUGAGUAAGCAGACGACUCCCGCGUUGGAGAUUCGAACCCUUACUGGAUGAUAACGUGUACCCAAAAUCCACAGAAUGGGAUUUUAGGCAACGAUCGGAAAACAUGACUCCUACCUCAAGCAGGUAGGAGUUUUUUUAU
rfam:Enterococcus sp. 2G9_DIV0600 scaffold00001, whole genome shotgun sequence.